rnacentral:sRNA from 1 species
GUGAUGGCAAAGGUAGCAAAGCGGUAGCAAUCGAUCGCGUUUGCAAGACUCUCUCCGGUGAAAUGGCAACAAAUUCAACGCC